rnacentral:rRNA from 1 species
CAAUAGCGUAUAUUAAAGUUGUUGCAGUUAAAAAGCUCGUAGUUGGAUUUGUGGUUGAUUGGGGUCGCCCGACACUUAGUGUUGGUGUGGAGUUUCGGUCGCCAUCCUUGGGUGGAAUCUGUGUGGCAUUAGGUUGUCGUGCAGGGGAUGCCCAUCUUUUACUGUGAAAAAAUUAGAGUGUUCAAAGCAGGCUUAUGCCGUUAAAUAUAUUAGCAUGGAAUAAUAAGAUAGGACCUCGGUACUAUUUUGUUGGUUUGCGCACUGAGGUAAUGAUUAAUAGGGACAGUUGGGGGUAUUCGUAUUCCAUUGUCAGAGGUGAAAUUCUUGGAUUUUUGGAAGACGAACUACUGCGAAAGCAUUUACCAAGGAUGUUUUCAUUAA